AAGAUGUUCCAGGACGUUUGCUUUUAAGGAAGCAAAAAACGCAGCCUCCAACCCAAGCAUCUCCAGUGUGAAAGCUUUGUGCCACAGGCCCAGGGUGAAGAAAGACGACUGUCGGAACAUGGCUGCCCACCACACCUCUACCUGCUGGUUGACCCACCAGCACCGUUUCUGUUCUGGUUCUGUUUCCUGCUCAGAGUUUCAGCAGAGAGCAACAUCCAGGAACAUCUCUGAGGUAGCGUAACGUAGCGCUUGGCAUGGAGGAGGAGACACCUGUGGCUGGGGCAACUGUCCUGAAGCAGCUGCAGUAACAGUGGAGACACACCCAGCCAGGGUCACAGGGUGACUAAGUGUGCAUUUGGAGGAAGGGCUUGGAGAGACAUGGAUGAAUUCCCUGUGAAUCAAUCAUCUUGUCAGGGGAAGAUCCGAACCCUGCUCUCCUCCGUGGGUGUGUGAUUUUCAGCAUGGGUGGCUCCUCCCUCUUCUCUCUUGAAUCUUAAAGGAUAAGUGGAAAUGGUUGAGCCUGGCGACUUGAGUUCAACUCCCAGGAUCCUCAGGAGGAGAGAACUGAAUGUGGUUGUGUCACUUCACUGCCACAGGUGUACCUUGGAAUACACGUCUGGGCACUUAGACAGACAGACAGACAGACGCUCGCACGCACGCACGUACACACAAAAUAAAAAGGAUUUUAGUUUCACAACUCAGAUCUUGAUUCUUGGAUUUCUUUCCUUUCCUAAGCCUGUUCUCCCUCCCUCCCUCCCUUGCUCCUGGCCUUCUACUCUUAGGCAUUGGGCACCUGCCAUUACAGAUGCUGUGAACAUUAUGGUACCAGCUCUGGUGUCUUCAGCCACAUAGAAGGAUCUUGGUGGUUCAGUCUCUUGCCUACCACAAGUCUUGUUUCUGUAGCUCUGGCUGACCACUCAGGGGAGUUAAGUGAGAAGGGCUUAGCUGUCUCAGGAUCUUUGCAUCUCAAGCACAAAGCUGGGCACAACAGAGUAGCCCAUUACUGGGGUGGGGGUGCCACAGAGAGCUGCCCUGGGACAGAAGAUCAGAAGCCCAAGCCUAGAGCAUGGUGUAGUGUCGGGGACAUAAUUAAGAAUAGCCUUUCCAGUUUUCUGCUGCUAAGGGAACACAGUAGCCAGCCAGUCCCCUCAUGGUGCCAUUGAUGGGUGUUUUAUUGUUGUCUGAGCUAACAGAUAUUGCCAUCUCAUCAGAAUGGCUGUGACCACUUGCAAGAGACUGUCAGGACCAAACCUGUGGAUGUUCCCUCAGAAGAAGUGGGACGUCUCAUCAGAUCCUUACUUGAGAGUCUACUCCCUCCAUUGCCUCCCUCCUGCCUCUAUGUGAUUCUGCACAAGCCGAACACAGUCUUGCGACCUUGGGAUGUGGUGAAGUCUAUAGAGUGUAUAACCGAAGGGGAGACUCCAUCUGUGUAACUGUGGGAACUCAUCCCUGCUGGGGUACAGCUUUUCAGUGAUGCCGUAGUUUUGGGGUUGCUUACGUUCCUGUAAGUAACACCUCACCCAUGUGAGGCCAACAAACUCAUUGGCUCACCAAGUUAGACUCUCGGCGGAAUCAUUGCUUUGGCCUGUCCUUGAUGCUCUGUCUGGGGGAGAACAUACUUUGUUCAUGUCUCCCCCAGAAAAGUUCAUUCAACAACUGAGUCAAUUUGGACCAAUUUCCAGAAAAUGGAAACAUGUAUGUCACGAGAAUUUAGUGAGUGUUUUAUUUAAAUGAUGUUGCCUUUAGAGUUGAUUUUGAUUUUGGAAUGUAUUUGCCAGGAUGCUGAUGCUUAGACGAACUGAAAAGAAGCCCAUGAUCCGUUCUGUUUUAUAGAGAUGGUCUGCUCAGAGGGUCUUGAACCAACGACCAUAACCCCUUCAAGGGACUGUUAUAAAUGCUAAUAGUGCUGAGGGCUUGGGAGCCUCUUUGACAUUAAAAGAAGUUUCUCUGUCAU
rnacentral:lncRNA from 1 species